GACGAACGCUGGCGGCGUGCUUAACACAUGCAAGUCGAACGGAAAGGCCCCUUUGGGGGUACUCGAGUGGCGAACGGGUGAGUAACACGUGAGUAACCUGCCCUUGACUUCGGGAUAACUUCAGGAAACUGGGGCUAAUACCGGAUAGGAAUCCUUGCUGCAUGGUGGGGGUUGGAAAGCUUCGGCGGUUUUGGAUGGACUCGCGGCUUAUCAGCUUGUUGGUGGGGUAGUGGCUUACCAAGGCUUUGACGGGUAGCCGGCCUGAGAGGGCGACCGGCCACAUCGGGACUGAGAUACGGCCCAGACUCCUACGGGAGGCAGCAGUGGGGAAGAUUGCACAAUGGGCGGAAGCCUGAUGCAGCAACGCCGCGUGCGGGAUGACGGCCUUCGGGUUGUAAACCGCUUUCAGCAGGGGCGAAGCUUGUGGUGACGGUACCUGCAGAAGAAGCACCGGCUAACUACGUG
rnacentral:rRNA from 1 species